GAAAGGGGUUAUGGUACCAACAGUAAAGGAAUUAGGGGCCAAAAAUAAGCAUUUUUGUAACUUCCAGACAUAACUUGUGUGUUAGUGUAUGGAUCUCUGUGACAUUGUACCACAAGGUUCCAUAUCACAAAAGGAAUGCUGGGAUUGAUUUUGGGGGUAAUUGCCUCAAAAUUUUAGGAAUUAGGGGCCAAAAACAAGCAUUUUUCUAGUUUCAUGACAAUAACUUGUGUGUAAGUGUAUGGAUCUUUCUGAAAUUGUACUACAAAGUUCCAUAUCACAAAGGGAAAGCUGGAAUUGAGUUUGGGGGUAAUUGCCGAAACGUUUAGGAAUUGGGGGCCAAAAAUAAGCAUUUUUCUAGUUUCCAGACAAUAACUUGUGUUCAAGUGUAUGGAUCUCUCUGAAAUUGUACUGCAAGGUACCAUACCACAAAGGGAAGACUGGGAUUGAUGAUGGGGGUAAUUGCCUCAAUAUUUUAGGAAUUAGGGGCCAGAAAGGGGCAAAAAACAAGUAUUUUUCUAGUUUCAGGACAAUAACUUGUGUGUAAGUGUAUGGAUCUUUCUGAAAUUGUACUACAAGGUUCCAUAUCACAAAGGGAAAGCUGGGUUUGAGUUUGGGGGUAAUUGCCCUAAACGUUUAGGAAUUUGGGGCCAAAAAACACAUUUUUCUAGUUUCCAGACAAUAACGUGUUCAAGUUUAUGGAUCUCUCUGAAAUUGUACUGCAAGGUACCAUACCACAAAGGGAAGGCUGGGAUUGAGUUUGGGGGUGAUGAAUCAUAAGGGGGUUCAAAAAAUUUGGGGGGGGAUUUUUUUUUUUUUCCUUUUUUUUUCUUUUAAAAUUUUCCAUUUUAAGUUGGUUAUUUCUGAUUUAUAUUUAAAAGCAAAUAAUAAUGAUAUGGUAGGAGAUACACACCAAACAGGAUGUGUAAAUUAUUAAAUAAUAAGUAUUGUGCAAUAGCAAGAAAUUUUCAAUUGCACAGUAUUGCACAAUAGCAAGAAAUCUUCAAUUGCACAGUAUUGUGCAAUAGCAAGAAAUCUUCAAUUGCACAGUAUUGCGCAAUAGCAAGAAAUAUCCAAUAGCACAAUAUUGCGCAAUAGCAAGAAAUUGUCAAUUGUACAGUAUUGCGCAAUAGCAAGAAAUAUUUAAUUGCACAGUAUUGUGCAAAAGAAGAUACUUCGUAUAAAUUGCUUAUUUCUUGACCAAUUUCAAUGGGGUUUUAUUCUUGAAUUCUUGGGGUUCUUUAAUAUGCUGAAUCUAACCGUGUAUUUAGUUUUUGGAUUUUGGGCCCCGUUUUUAAAUUGGUCCACAUUGAGGUCCAAAGGGUCCAAAAUUAAACUUUGUUUAAUUUCAUCAAAAAUUGAAUUAUUGGGGUUCUUUGAUAUGCCGAAUCUAACCGUGUAUUUAGAUUCUUAAUUUUUGGUUCCGUUUUCAAAUUGGUCUACAUUAAGGUCCAAAGGGUCCAAAAUUAAAUUUAGUUUGAUUUUAACAAAAAUUGAAUUCUUAGGGUUCUUUGAUAUGCUGAAUCUAAACAUAUAUUUAGAUUUUUAUACGAACGCAAAAAAAUUUUGUGGUCGUAUAUUGGUAUGACGUUGGCGUCGUCGUCGUCCGAAGACACAUUGGUUUUCGCACUCUAACUUUAGUGAAUGGAUCUUUUUGAAAUUUGACCAUAAGGUUAAAUACCACAAAAGGAAGGUUGGGAUUGAUUUUGGGGGUUAUGGUACCAACAGUUAAGGAAUUAGGGGCCAAAAAGGGGCCUAAAAUAAGCAUUUUCUAGUUUCCAGACAAUAACUUUGGAACGGUGUAUGGAUCUCUCUGAAAUUAUACUACAAGUUUCCAUACCACAAAGGGAUGGUUAGGAUUUGCUUUGGGGGGUUAUGGCUCAAACCGUUUAGGAAUUAGGGGCAAAAAAGGGGGAAAAACAAGGUUGUCCUGGUUAAUGGACAAAUACUUUAGUACAAAACAUAAUUUAAAGCAGUGUAAGGGAGAUAAAUCAAAUACAUCAUUGAAAUUAUCUCCCUUACACUGCUUUUAAAUUAUGUAUAAAGUAAUGGUUAAUGAACAAUAAAGAUAAUUUAAAACAGUGUAAGGGAGGUAAUCCAAAUACAACGUUUUGGUUACUUCCCUUACACUGCUUUUAAAUUAUGUUUAAAGAAAUACAUAUUUAUAAAGGAAGACCAGUAAAAAUAUCUGCAAAUGUUGCAUCUUUUUUUUUUACAAAAAAAUCCAUAUGAAAGAUUUGACACUAUAUUUUUAAUUCUAUUAUAAAAUAGAUUAAGUUAGCACUAUGGUAAAUUUAAAUGGGUAAUUAUGGUUGCCAACUCCAUUGGAAAUUUGAAUUGAGAUUAUGACCAUAUCUUGAGGGAAAGAAUUUUUUUGGGAAAAAAAGGGGGGGGGGGGGAUAAAAAGAAAUUGUGGGGGGUCAAUUUUUUCUCAUUUCAGAUUUCAGAAAUUAAAAAGAAUUAUUCUUCAAAUAUUAUUUUUUUUUCAAAUUUCAAAUAUUGAAAAAUUUCAAGAAGUAAUCUUUAAUUGCACAGUAUGGCGCAUUAGAUUUGUAAAAUCUUUGAUCACAUUUAUUUAUUUGUUAUGCCGAAUCUAACAGUGUAUUUAGAUUUUUAAUUUUGGGUCCAGUUUUCAAAUUGGUCUACAUUAAGGUCCAAAGGGUCCAAAAUUAAACUUUGUUUGAUUUUAGCAAAAAUUGAAUAUAUGAGGUUCUUUGAUAUGCUGAAUCUAAACAUGUAUUUAGAUUUUUGAUUUUUGGCCCAGUUUUCAAGUUGGUCCAAAUUGGGGUCCAAAAUUAAACUUUGUUUGAUUUCAACAAAAAUUGAAUAUAUGGGGUUCUUUGAUAUGCUGAAUCUAACCAUGUAUUUAGAUUUUUUAUUUGUGGACCCCGUUAUCAAAUUGGUUCAUAUUGAGGUCAAAAGGGUCCAAAAUUAAACUUUGUUUGAUUUCAUCUAAAAUUGAAUUAUUGGGGUUCUUUGAUAUUCCAAAUCUAACCGUGUAUUUAGAUUUUUAAUUUUGGGUCCUGUUUUUUAAAUUGGUCUACAUUAAGGUCCAAAGGGUCCAAAAUUAAACUUAGAUUGAUUUUAACAAAAAUUGAAUUCUUGGGGUUCUUUGAUAUGCUGAAUCUAAACAUGUGUUUAGAUUUUUGAUUAUGGGCCCAGUUUUCAAGUUGGUCCAAGUUGGGGUCCAAAAUUAAACUUUUUUUGAUUUCAACAAAAAUUGAAUAUAUGGGGUUCUUUGAUAUGCUGAAUCUAACCAUGCAUUUAGAAUUUUUAUUUGUGGGCCCCCCUAUCAAAUUUUUUCAUAUUGAGGUCAAAAGGGUCCAAAAUUAAACUUUGUUUGAUUUCAUCAAAAAUUGAAUUAUUGGGGUUCUUUGAUAUUCCAAAUCUAACCGUGUAUUUAGAUUUUUAAUUUUAAGUCCCGUUUUUUAAAUUGGUCUACAUUAAGGUCCAAAGGGUCCAAAAUUAAACUUAGUUUGAUUUUAGCAAAAAUUGAAUUCUUGGGGUUCUUUGAUAUGCUGAAUCUGAACAUGUGUUUAGAUUUUUGAUUAUGGGCCUAGUUUUCAAGUUUGUCCAAGUUGGGGUCCAAAAUUAAACUUUGUUUGAUUUUAACAAAAAUUGAAUAUAUGGGGUUCUUUGAUAUGCUGAAUCUAACCAUGUAUUUUGAUUUUGGACAUUGGACCAUAAUAGGUAAAUUAAAAAAAUUCAAGUUCUUAGACCACAUUCUUUCUGUGUCAGAAACCUAUGCUGUGUCAAAUAUUUAAUAACAAUCCAAAUUCAGAGCUGUAUCAAGCUUGAAUGUUGUGUCCAUACUUGCCCCAACUGUUCAGGGUUCGACCUCUGCGGUCGUAUCAAGCUGCGCCCCAGCGAAGCAUUUUAUUUAU